UUGUUUGCAGAUGUAGCAUCAUCAAGAUUCACAUAAAAAACGCAUGGUGAUGAGCUGAUGAAAUGACAUUAAUGGCCAAGGCAGCUUUCUGAAGGUGAGAAUCUUGAUGAUGCUGCAUCAGCAAUAAA
rfam:Nicotiana sylvestris Nsyl_contig167376, whole genome shotgun sequence.